GCUGAUGAUGAUUUUGUCCAUGUUAGAGAUACUGGGGUUCCAAGUCCUUGUUUUACAAGGAGAACCUACUUGGAGUAGCCCUUGUAUUGCUAUGACCUUAUUGGAUAUUUAGU
rnacentral:snoRNA from 1 species